UGUUUUUUUUUCUUUCUAUAGUUUAGUUUAUGUUUGAAGAAACAUAACAAAAAGCGCUACUGCCAUUCCAGAUAGUCAAAGGGGACCCCCCAAUACCUAGAUGGAUAUCACCGGGUGCUAAAACCAUGAUCAAGAGAAUGCUUGAUCCAAAUCCAAUGACGAGGAUAACAAUCGCAGGUAUUAAGGCCAAUGACUGGUUCAAGCAUGACUACAGUACUUCGUCCAAUUGCCAUGAUGAAGACGAUGCAAUCUCAAUCCAAGAUGUAAGACUAUGUUGCCUCUUAUCCUGGUUCUUAUACCAAGUGCAUUGCUUUGAUCAGAGUCUUGUCUCUUUGGUUAUUAUGAUUAAGGUAUAUGAAGAAGAGAAGACCUCUGAUUCACCAACCGUCAUCAAUGCCUUUCAGUUGAUCGGAAUGUCAUUGUUUCUUGACCUCUCCGGUUUGUUUGAGACAGAGGUAACGAUACCUUCUUUUCUUCGUUUGCUAUGUAUCAAGACUAUUCUUUGCUUCACAAUAAACGUGUAUAUCUUUAUGCAUUGGUUCAGAACGUGUCAGAGAGGCAGAUAAGAUUCACGACAAAUAAGCCAGUCGUAGAUGUGUUGGACAAAAUCAAAACAGUCCUAAUGGAGAUGGGUUUCUGUGUACAAAAGAAGCACACAAUGGUGACAUCUCCUUUUGUUCUUAUCUACUACUUGAAAUGUCUAGCUUUUUCUUUAACUGCAACUUGAGAUGAUGUACAAAUUUUAGCCAAAAAAAAAAACUUGAGAUGAUGUAUAGACUUUUAAUGGUUUCUAAAGCUGCGAAGUGAUGUUGCUUCAGUUAAAAGCAAUCCAAGAAGAGAGUACUCGGAAAGGGCAAGGCGGGUUAUCAGUAACGGCUGAGGUUUUCGAGAUAAUCCCGUUGCUGAAUGUGGUUGAACUGAGAAAAUCACAUGGCGAUUCAUCUCUAUAUAAUCAGGUAUUAAUAAAUUCAUGUAACUAUUAUUUGGUCUCUUUGUAUAUAUAUUUUUCCAAUAUUGACCUAAAACAACUUAUCGCUUUUGGGUUGGUGCAGUUAUGCGAGAGAUUAUCAAACGAAUUGGACACAUGAUGUGUCAUACAAUAUCAUUGCAAGUACAACAGCUUUUAAGGUAGCCAGUAGCAGAAACAAAUGUCGACUAUUCAAUAUCCGGGAUGAUAGAGGAUAUAUGAAAAAAAGUUUUUUUUCUAUUAAUUUUUCUUUGUAUAAAAUCGGUACAUAACAUUCAAAAAAACAAGGCCACAAUUAGGUUCUAUUGUAAACAAUACAUUUUGUUUCUCUAUCUGUACAUCAGCAGCAAUUUAAACAGAUAUUUAAGCAUAUGAUAUUUUCUCUAUCUGUUCAUAAGAAGCAAUUAAACAGAUAAUUGAGCAUAUGAUUUUUUAAGCAUAUGAUAUUUUCUUGUAUAGCUGAUUUAACAUGUACAUUAUAAUCAAGUACUUUGUCUCUUUCAUCGUUUUCUACAAUGGUCUAGCAUUUCCAAUGGUAAAAGAACUUAAACAGUAUCUGUAACAAUAUAAUAUUACUACUUUAUUAUAAUUUAUAGGAUGAUUGAUUACUAUUUUAUUAUAAUUUAUUUGAUAAAAUUUUGGUUAUUUAAUAAUAUAAAUUUAAGAAUAAUAUUUGAGAAUAUAUUUAUUUACUAAAUAUACGAUAGAAAUUUUGAAAUUUAAGAUUUUAUUAAAGAUAUUUUUGAUUGAUCAAUUUGAAAAAAAAAACACAUAAAAUAUCUUUUGGACAUUAUUUGCAAAGUGAUUUUGACACAUAUUUUCUGGACAAUCAUUUUCACUAAAUAAAUGUGAUAUGACAUAAUAGAAAUUAUGACAUAGCUUAUGCCAAAACGUGACAUGGACAAUUACAUUUAAUGUUUAUUUUUAUCUUUAGUAAAUAUUUAGAAUAUGGUAGUAAAUUAUACAUCAUCAUUAAAAUAAAUCUAUUCAAAUAUUAUAUUAAAUAAUAUAAUAACAGAAAUAUAUUAAUAAUUUACAAAUUUUGAAAUAUUAUUUAUUUAUAUUUUCUAUAAUUAUACAAUUUUAUUGCUGAUCAAUGUUUCCAUAUUUUAAAAAAUCAUUAAUUUUUAAUCGUAAUAUUCUUAUCUUCAUUUAUAUAUCUAAAAUUUAGAAAUACUUUUUAUAAUUUUUGAUAAUUAUACAAAUUUUAUUUUAAUUAAUUUUAUACAAAUUUAUUUAAUAUAUUUGAUCCAAAAAUAGAUAAAAAUCUAUCUUAUAUUUAUUCUUAAAUAUAAUUUAAAGUAAACAAAAUUGUUUAUUUAAUCUUAAUUUUAAUGUUCAAUUAAAUAAAAAUUUAUAUUGAAAUAUUUGUAAAAAAUAAUAAAAUUUUAGUUAAAAUAUAACGUAAAUUAAAAUUUUAUCAUUGCACAUUGUACUGAAAAACACAUAGUGUAAAUGUUCUUGCUGUCAAAAAAAAAAUAUAUAUAUACACAAGCGAAAUAUUAUGGUCUAUUAUAGAACCUAGUUAAGCUACAUUGACUUUAUUUUACAAAUAUCUAGAUCUUAAGCUACAUUAACUAUAUUAUCUUUUUCAUAAGAUUUUUAUUUUAUUGAUUUUUUCGAACUAGACUAUCUUAAGUUUAAGGAAUACAAUACCUUUUUGAUGUUUUACUGAGAAAACAAAAACAAUAAAGAGAAAGUUUACUAAAAUGACACAAAUUUAUUGUGUUAUUACUAGAAUAACUCAUAUUUUUUAAAAAAUUAUUAGAAUGCUUUUCUAGUCAUAAUUUCCCUUACUCAUAGUUAUAACAAAAAAAACAUUGCUAAAGUACCCUUAACAUUUGAUCGACGAUCGAUUUAUUUUCAAAAAAUUAAAUCUAUCAAAUAAUAAGUCUGUUCAUAAAAUCUUUAUAGAAAAAAAAUCCACGUUAAAGUGGUGCCAGCCUUUUUUAGAAACGUCAGAUUUUUUUCCACGACAGAGUUAAUUGUCCGAUUUGAAUAGAAAACAGAUUUAUAAGAGUAUGUUUGUCGAAUGAAGUGGCAGAUUUGUUAUAAACGGUAGAUUUUUGUGGUUCACUUCUUUUCUUAUGUUCGACUUAUUUUCUUACGGCAUAGUUCUAUAUCCGAUUUAAAAUUAUCGAUAGACUUUUUAUUUACAUGGUGACUGACUUAUAAUUCAUGUUGUGGUACGUUUAUUGACGAAAAUCUGGAUUUAUAUAAACCAAACGUAAUUUAAUGUUUAAUUUUGACCCGGUUUAUAUUAAUUUCGAAUCUGGUUUAUACCAUUGAGGAUUCUUUGUAUAGAUGAUCAUAAACCAUGAAAUAACACAAUUUCAAAAAUAAUUGUAAUCUCGUAUCUCUCGUCUUAACGUCUCCUUGCAGGUUGUUCCAUUUUCCAUCUCUUCUUUUCUUCUUUAGAAUUAUGGAAAGGUGAAUUCCAAGGCUUACAAAAAUCGAUUUUGAUAGAUUAAGAGAGAGAUCCGCACACUCAAAGUGUUGAAGCAUCCCAACGUUGUCAGAUUACAUGAGGUAAUUAACUACUUUGCAAUCAUUUUACUGGAGAAACUUGGAUACUUGUGAUUGUGUUCUUUGUCAUGGAAAAGAUGAUAACGUAAAGAUUCUCUAUUACAGCUUAAGGAAACCAUGAUUCUAUUAUCUGGGUAUAAGUUUGUCAAAAUAUUAGGGAAUGUUUUGACGAUGAUUAACGGGGAUUAAACAAACCUGGGAAACCUUUUUAUUUUGUUUGCUUUCUAAAAUAUCUUGGUUAGUUGUUUUUUUCUUAAGUUUAGUUCUUUUCUAAUUUCUUAAUCUUCUCUUCACGUUGUUAAAUAGACACGCUUAACUUUUAUAUAUUUUAAAAAAAUUAAAUAUUGUUUCCCCCAUUAAUGGCCAUGGAUUUGAUGACAAUUUCAAUUCUGGGGUCGGUCCUAUUUUUUUAAUAUCGACAAUGUCAUGUUCACGAUUCUUAAUUCAGACAAUAAAAACAAAAAAAAAAAAAAAAUCCAAACAUUACCAGAUAACAUGAAGUAGUUUUUAAUAUAUAUAGUUGAGAUCCAUAAAUUCUAUUUAGAACAGAGUUAGUUUAAACAAAAAUCUAAUAAACAUUCAAAUGUCGUGACACAAAAAUAACUAACACUUCAUGAAGUAAUUGUUGCACGAUUUUUAUGGUAAUCUUGAAUUCUUGUGGUUGUAUCUGUUUGAUGGCAUAAAUAAUUUUAGAAACUGCUUAAGGAAAUCUCCCAAUAAAUUUUUUUCUAUGAUAACUCUUUUUAAGUUUUGUCACCAAAAUAGUCAUCACUAAAAAAAUGAUCAAAAUAAAUUUUUUUUUAGAGCAAAUUAGCUCAAUAUACUUAAAAGGGUGGGAUACCAUACAAAUGAGGAAAAAUGGUAAUGAUGGGGGAAAAAAAAUUGGAGGGAUAUAGAGUAUAGAGUGCAAAUAGGGGAUAUUUGGUGUGUAGGGAGUACAAAUUCUCUUUUUUUUUAAAGAGUAAAAGUACAUUUUUAUUCUAUGAUUAACUAAUCUAGAUUUAUGGUUUAGAGUUAAGGAACAAAUUUAAAAAAAUAAAAAUAAAUAUUAAAAUUUUUAAAAUAAAAAAGAAUUAUUUUGAUUAUUUUUAGAGUUAUUUUUGUGCCAAAAACUUAAAAACGACUAUUCGAGAGAAUUAUCCAAUCCCAAUUCGAUCCAAUAUUUAUAUCAAUUGUUUCUGUAUUAUUUGAAAACAAUGUAUGGGGUGUACCGACCAAAUUUUCGGGCCCUCCAUUAUUAUUUUAUUUCUUAUUAAUUAGAAAGUUUUGACAAAAAGACAUUAAACUUUGUUUAUUUUUUGAUGCAAUUGAACUUUAUUUGUUGCUUUUGAAAAAGUAUCUUCUCAUCUUUUGUGGUCAAGAACUUGCGAACAAAAGUCCCCUAAGUUAUUAGUAGAUUCACACCCUAACACGUAUGUUCACCAACCAAUAAAAGUUAUAUAUUUUAUAUUUAAUAUCUUUUUAAAAAAAUAUUAUCAAUUUAUAUCAUGAUUUUAUUUUAUUUUUAAAAUAUAAAUAAAAAAUAAUACUAGUUACAAAAAAGAAGAUUUCUUAAAAAACAUUUUUAACACCGUCAGCAAAAAACUAAACCCUAAAUCCUAAACUCUAAACAUUUGGGUAAACCCCAAACUCUUGGAAAAAUCAUAAAUUUUGGAUAAAUCCUAAACCCUAAAUCAAAAGCAAUAAACACUAAAUCUUAAAAACACUAAACCCUUAAUCCUAACCCUUAAACUCUUGGAUUUAAAAUUUUUAAGAUUUAUUGUUUAGUGUUUUUGAUUUGUGGGUUUAGAAUUUAUCCAUGAGUUUAUGGUUUACCCAAUGAUUUAGGAUGUGUCCAAAGAUUUAUGGUUUACGGUUUAGGGUUUAGGGUUUCAGUGUUUUGCUGACGGCGUUAAAAAAAUUUUAAAUUUUUCUUUUCAUUUUUUCAACUAAUACUAUUUUUUAUUUAUUUUUACUUUGUUAUUUUAAAAUUAUGAUAUAAACUCAUAAUAUUUUUUUUUUCUCUUUUUAAAAGAUAUUAAAUAUGAAAUAAUUAAUUCUUAUUGGUUGGUGAACCUACGUUUGAUACUUUCCUCCUGAAUGUUUUCAUUAAUGUUGUUAGAAAGGCCACGCUUAACAUAUAAUUAAAUCAUUUUUGUACUUUUAGUAUUUUGAUGACUUCUAAUUUUGAUGACCAAAUAAAUAUGAGUUAAAGAUUAAUUUUCUUGCAAGCAACCAAAAUAGUUGGUUCUGAACGUUGAAUUAAUAGACUUGGUCUAUGUUUUUGCUUGAAGAUGGGAGCUUCUCUGAUAUUUUUCUAACUUAUGGUCUCCAAGUUUAUUUUAAAUACCUAAGCUUAUUUUAUAUCAUUGAUAAGCCAAUUAUUUAUUGUCGACUUGCAGGUCUUAGCUAGCAAAACCAACAUUUACAUGGUCCUUGAAUAUGUCACUGGAGGAGACUUAUUUGACAGAAUUGUAAGAUUCAUGUAUUGCUACGGUGACAGUUUUGUUAGUUAGCCAAAAAGUUGGUUUCUAAAGACGUGCUCUGAUUUCUCUUAGGUCUGCGAAGGAAAGAUUUCGGAGAGAGAAGGAAGAAAAAUGUUUCAGCAGUUAAUUGAUGGACUCAACUAUUGUCAUUACAAAGGCGUUUUCCACAGGGAUCUCAAGGUCUGUUGUGUGUACACGUUUUCCUGACCCAUAAAGAACAUAAAACGUUUCCUGUAAUAUGUCCCACAUUUUUUUAUGCCAAUGUCACUUUCUGUACGUAGCUAGAGAAUGUUCUUCUUGAUGCAAAGGGUCACAUUAAGAUCACUGACUUUGGCCUUAGUGCUCUGCCUCAGCAUUUCAGGGUAUUUUCCAAAUAGCCUAAACAUAUAUACAUCAGCAAAAAACGUACAUAUGUCCCAACAUUUUUCGGGUUUGACAUUCUAGGAAGAUGGGUUGCUACAUACAGCCUGUGGAAGUCCUAACUAUGUCGCUCCUGAGGUUUUAGUCAACAAGGGCUAUGAUGGUGCUGCAUCGGAUAUAUGGUCAUGUGGAGUAAUCUUGUAUGCUAUUCUUACGGGAUGUCUCCCUUUUGAUGAUACAAACCUGGCGGCUAUUUGCCGGAAGGUACUGUUUUUUUUUUCUCUAUAGUUUAGUUUAUGUUUGAAGAAACAUAACAAAAAGCGCUACUGCCAUUCCAGAUAGUCAAAGGGGACCCCCCAAUACCUAGAUGGAUAUCACCGGGUGCUAAAACCAUGAUCAAGAGAAUGCUUGAUCCAAAUCCAAUGACGAGGAUAACAAUCGCAGGUAUUAAGGCCAAUGACUGGUUCAAGCAUGACUACAGUACUCCG
rnacentral:lncRNA from 1 species